CGCGGCUACCAUGCAGUCGAGCGGUAACAGAUCCAGCUUGCUGGAUGCUGACGAGCGGCGGACGGGUGAGUAAUGCAUAGGAAUCUGCCCGAUAGUGGGGGAUAACCUGGGGAAACCCAGGCUAAUACCGCAUACGUCCUACGGGAGAAAGGGGGCUCCGGCUCCCGCUAUGGGAUGAGCCUAUGUCGGAUUAGCUAGUUGGUGAGGUAACGGCUCACCAAGGCCACGAUCCGUAGCUGGUCUGAGAGGAUGAUCAGCCACAUCGGGACUGAGACACGGCCCGAACUCCUACGGGAGGCAGCAGUGGGGAAUAUUGGACAAUGGGGGCAACCCUGAUCCAGCCAUGCCGCGUGUGUGAAGAAGGCCCUCGGGUUGUAAAGCACUUUCAGCGAGGAAGAACGCCUAGCGGUUAAUACCCGCUAGGAAAGACAUCACUCGCAGAAGAAGCACCGGCUAACUCCGUGCCAGCAGCCGCGGUAAUACGGAGGGUGCAAGCGUUAAUCGGAAUUACUGGGCGUAAAGCGCGCGUAGGUGGCUUGAUAAGCCGGUUGUGAAAGCCCCGGGCUCAACCUGGGAACGGCAUCCGGAACUGUCAAGCUAGAGUGCAGGAGAGGAAGGUAGAAUUCCCGGUGUAGCGGUGAAAUGCGUAGAGAUCGGGAGGAAUACCAGUGGCGAAGGCGGCCUUCUGGACUGACACUGACACUGAGGUGCGAAAGCGUGGGUAGCAAACAGGAUUAGAUACCCUGGUAGUCCACGCCGUAAACGAUGUCGACCAGCCGUUGGGUGCCUAGCGCACUUUGUGGCGAAGUUAACGCGAUAAGUCGACCGCCUGGGGAGUACGGCCGCAAGGUUAAAACUCAAAUGAAUUGACGGGGGCCCGCACAAGCGGUGAGCAUGUGGUUUAAUUCGAUGCAACGCGAAGAACCUUACCUACUCUUGACAUCCUGCGAAUUUGGUAGAGAUACCUUAGUGCCUUCGGGAAC
rnacentral:rRNA from 1 species